UCUUAAUUCCUAGUGGUUGUAUAAUGUAUCAUCUUGGCGGGGUUUUUUUUAUUGUUUGUGGCAUUUUCUGUAUUUUUUUAUUUUUUCAUAAUUUUUUUUUAAUAUUUGGGAUUUUUGUGUCGAUGGCAAAUGUUUGAUAGUUUGUAUAAUUUUAAAAACCGGUUCGGUAGAAUUUGAGCUUGUCAGUUAGUUUUGUCGUUGGGUUACUGUGUCGCUGACUUAUACACCACAUGUCCUUCAAGUCAUAUGACAUGACAUAAGAUUAAUAAGGAGAUGUAGUAUGCCAUAUUGCGAUGAAACAAUCAGUGUCAACCACCUGAUAGUGCACUGGACUGAUUUAAAUAUUGAAGCGACAUAUACUAACUAAAUAUAAUGGCGUACACUUGUCUGUAAACCUCAUGAAGCAUACAAACGACAAACAGGAUAUAUACACUGAUACAGGUCCCACAAUACAAGUAUACUUCCGCUUUAUUUAGAUACAGUAAAUGUGGACCUCAAGUACAGAGAGGAAGUUUAUAUAUAAUCCCUAUUGUGUGUAUAAUCUUCCAGUAAUGUUGGAGAACUUCCCUGUUCCAUGACUAGCAGUCUUCCUGUGCAUUCAUUGUUUUUACGUUUCCGGACGGCUACUAUAAAGUUGACAACAAUAUGUUUCGUGCAUUAAGAUAACAUAUUGAUAACCGAAAUAAAAUUCUCUUUGAUCUUGUUAGUAUUUACCCCUGACCGAGGAUAAAGAACAACGAAAUAAAGGUAAACGUCCACCUACUUCAGUUUAAACUUUGUGGUUUUUAAAUGAUCAGGGUACCUGUUUGUGACAACACGCUCAAAAUAAACUUCGAUACUAUAAAAUGCCGAGAUAUUAAUUUAACUCUUUGUCACAGUCUCUUUAUCGGACGACCACAAUCAGAGUGCAGAUUUUAUUAACGCAACAUUAGCGUUUAGAUCUGUGUGGGAAAUUUAUGAGCCAACUAAAAGUUGUUUUUCAAACGUAUAUAUAUGUGUUUUGCUAUUCAUUGAUUUGUCCCACUCAUACACACCAUAAGUGACUUAGUGCUUCCUAUAAAGUUUAAAGGAACUUAUUCGUAGCUCAGUAAUUACUAUCUAUUACAUGUACUUAGUUAAAAGUCGUUUUCAAAAAGGAUUUAUGAUUAUAACGUUUAACGACAUCAUAUCACUUAAACACCUUUACUGACGGACAAAUAACUAUAUACAUCCCAACCAAAUAUUUAUUGAGCGUAAUUCUUGCAUGAAAAGAUCCCGCAAAGAGUAUAUAAAUAUAAAUAUAAGUAUGAAAAUAUCUACUUGAUAUUACUCUAACCAGACACAGUGUAUUAAUAUAUGAAAAAAACACUUUAUUUGACCUAAAGCAGUCGUGUAAACAACAUUACAGUUACUUGUUAGUGCUACAGUACUAAUUCAAAGUAAAACUGUUGUUCGUAUUUUAAAAAUACUAUAAUUGUUUAAUUUCUAGGGAUUCACAGGCGCGGAUCCAGGGGGAAGGAGGGGGUGUGAGUUCCGGGGAUUGGAACCCCCUUUUUUUGGACGAUCAAUGCAUUUGAAUGGGGACAUGUAGUUGGAACUCCCCCUUUCUCCUGGGUAAGGACCCCCCCCCCUUUUUUUUAAAUGGCUGGAUCCGUCCCUGGUACAGUUGACUCAUGAAGUAUUUUCAAGUGAUUGUCUGAUACAAUGAAUUCUACGACAACGUACGUACCAUCGCAAGUUAGUCUAAAUGAAAAUGAGUAUUAUAUGAAACGGUCAUCGACUCGGAACACAUUUCGGAUGUUAAAAAUGUAAACAUUAAGAAAGUGUGUCAUACUUCUUGUUUUUGUUUGUAAUUAAGGAAGUUUUAUAAUACGUAAUACAUGUUACAAAACAAAAACAGAAAAAAGAAGGUACGCAAUUAAUUUUAAAUUAAUAUACGCUGUCAUGGUCAUGUGAAAUCUCGUGUUUGUCCUAAGAUGAUGAAAGUUCGGCGUUGAUUUAAAACUAAGUUCACAGGCUUAGUUCAGAGAAAUUUCAGUUUCAGGCCUGGAACGUAGAACCAAAAUUUCGAAAAUUCUUUAAGUUUUCUUUGUACAAUCAAUUUAUCGUAGGGCAUCACACCAUGAUACGUUCACCCACCCCUUAAGAUAAAUAGUUGAGUUACUGACCUUGUCUGAUAAUAACUAAAUGAUCAUAAAACUUUUAUAUUUUCAAAUGAAUUUUGUGAAAUUGUUGGUUGGGGUCACUUUUUUGGUAGAACACGUGUGAAACGACGGAACACUUAUAAAAAAAUAGAUUGAACUGCAUUAAAUUUCUUACAACAUGCAUCACUUGUUCAAUAAUUAAAGUGCAAGUACCUGGAGUAUAUAAAUAUACUUAUCACGAAAAACAAACAUGUGAUUUUACCUGCAGCUAAAGGAACGAUUUGAUUGGUAAAAACUCGGUCAGCUCGCACUGAAUGACUCUGCGGUUUUGAGAUUACUAACCAACAGCGAAUUGUUUUUCAGAUGAUACGAUAUAUCAAAGAUUAUUUUUCGUUUCAACAAAGCUGAAAAACUUGUUUGCGCUUGACAUUAAUCAAGUAAACCGACUAUGCUUGAGGGAACCAAAUGGUGUAUUAGAACUCUUCUAUCUUUUAGCAGGAAAUCAUAUUUUGAUUUGAUGGCAUAAUGGCAGUGUGUUCGAUAAGGAUGUGGGAUACAUAAAAAAAAUCAGUCAUGUCAAAAUUAUUACCAUAUGAUGGUCUGUCGUUCAAACUAUUGCGAAACUAAAGACUCUAAAAUAAUCUUACAAAAGUUAACUGAUUAAUAAAUAAUAAGAUAAAUGAAAAAUAACUUUCCUUGAAGUCGUUACGACAUACAAUAAAACUAGCACAUACAUGUAUAUGUUAUCAUUAACAACACAGUGACAAGAAUCAGGUGACCUGACUGUGAGUGACCAGACAGAUUUUCCAUCUUAAAAAAAGGUCUGUACACCAC
rnacentral:lncRNA from 1 species